rnacentral:ncRNA from 1 species
UGUUCCGGUUGUCAUUGCAAUGGCAUUGCCGGGUAGCUAUGUUCGGACAGGAUAACCGCUGAAAGCAUCUAAGCGGGAAGCCCCUCCCAAGAUGAGAUCUCCCUGGGACCGUGAGUCCCCUGAAGGGCCCUGGAAGACCACCAGGUUGAUAGGUCGGGUGUGGAAGCUCAGUAAUGGGUGAAGCUAACCGAUACUAAUGGCCCGUGAGGCUUGACCAU